UUUUUUCUUUUUUCUUUUUUUAAAGCCUGCACCUGCCGCAUGUGGAAGUUCCUGGGACAGGGGUUGAACUGGAGCUGCAGCUGCUGGCCCAUGCCAGAGCCACAGCAACGUGGGAUCUGAGCUGCAGCUGCGACCUACACCACAGCUUGUGGCAACACCAGAUCCUUUAACCCACUGAGCUGGAGCUGGGGAUCAAAUCUGUGCCUCUCUCGAAACCUGAGCGAAUUGCAGUGGGAUUCUUAACCCACUUCCCUGCAGCCAGAACUCUUUCUUCGCAUUUGAAGGGCAGUUUUGUAAGAUAUUGGAUUCCUGGUUGAUGGAUUUUUUUUUCUUUCUGCACUUUUAAUACAUUGGUCUUCAGCCCCCAAAGUUUCUGAUAAGAGGUCCAGUAAUAUUAUCCCCAAGGAUCUCUCGUGUGGGACGGUUUGCUUCUCUUGCUGCUUCCGAGACUCUUUGUCUUCUGAACCUUUGGUUGUAACACGUCUUCGUGGGCAUCUCCUUGAGCCCAUUUUACUUGGAAUUCUUUCAGCUUCUCAGACGUUUGUGCUGACGGCUCUCUUCCCAUUUCAGAGAGUUUCGCCGCAGGUCUUCAGACGACCUCUGGACCUUCCCGCAGCGUCUCUGUUGACGUGUCCGACGGUGUCACACGGUCGCUUCGGCUCUUUCCUCUGUCCUCUGAUCUUUGCUCGUUCCAUUCCUCCGACACGGCCGCUUCCACUGCCUUUUCUUCAAGGCCACUGAUCUUCUUCUACCUGCUAACAUCGGCCCUUGAAUGCCUCUAGUGGAUUUUAAAUUUCAGUUCUUAUGCUUUUCAGCUCUAGAAUUUCUCUGGGUUUCUUUUGGGGGCUUCCCUCUCUUUAUUGGUAUUUCCAUUGGUUUCUUGAUUUUUUUCCAUAUCUGUAAUCCUUUGAACGUCUUUAAAACAAGGUUUUAAAGUUUUUGUCCGGCGUCUUUGCCAUGAGACAUUUUUCGGGGUCGCCUUCGGAUCCGUUUUUUCCUUCGGGCAGGCUGUGUGGUCCCUCUUUACCUUUAGGCCUUGUGUCGUCGUGGUCGCUGUCGGACCCUGGACUUGGGAAUUAAUGAUGUGGUGACGCCUCUGGAAAUCGGAUUAGCCUCUUCUCCAGGGUUUGUUGUUUUGUGUUAUUGUUGGUAUUGUUUUUAAAUUUUUUAUUUUAUUUUUUUAGGGCCGCAGAUGUGGCCUGUGGAGGUUCCCAGGCUGGGGGUCAAAUCGAAGUUACCAGCCUUCGCCACAGCCACAGCCGCACAGGUUCCGAGCCGCGUCUCUGACCCCCACCACAUCACCGCCAACCCCCGCAGCUCCACCUGCCUCACCACCCCCCACACCAGCCCCAGGACCAGCACCUCCACCUUCAUCACCACCAGCAGGCACAGCAACGCCAGGCCCGCCAGCCCCAGCGGCAGCGGCGGCCGCUCUGUUCCAGCCCCUCUUCCUCGGAGCCCGAGCAGCGCCGUGUCAACCAGGCUUCCCCGGCAGGUUUACUUCAUCAUGUGCCGUCUUCAUCGGCCCGAACGCACCAAGGCUGUUUCUGAGCCCGCGGUAGGGCCCGGGCCCUUGCCAGGGGCCGCCCUCUGGGUGCCGGCCCGAGAGGCUUCUGCAAAGGCACCUCCACGCUGACUGGAGCUCCAGGGUCUGAGCUCCUGUGCGGGCAGUAAACGUCCUGGCCCCGCGAUGACACGCAUCACUGCCCCCCAGCCCCGCCCAGAGCCCUGCGCCAGAGGGUCCCCGGUGUCUUCCCAGCCUCUCCGUGUCCUUAGGAGACGUCCCCUGUCCUGCAGUGGCACCGGGUUUUGGGACUCCAGUCUGCAGUCCUGGCCCGUCUGGAGGGCGCGGGCUGUCUCCUCGGGGCUACGCCUGUGGCCGUGGGGGGUCCGUGGCACACGUGCGUUUUGAGCUGGGGUCUGGGGACGUGGCCACACGCUUGGCUGGUCUCCCGCACGAUCGUCCCGCUGUCACUGGCUCGCGGCUCUCCUUUGUGCUGCCGUCUCCCCUGACUUGGGGUGUCGUUUCCCCAUCUGGUGGGUUUUAAUUUGAGUCCCUGUCAUGGCGGGAGUGCUGCGUCCCGGGUGCACAGCACAGCCGCCAGGCCGCGUUCCAUGAGCGUUUCCUCCAGGAGCCUCAGGGUGUUCCCUGGGCGUCUCAGGCCUCGGUCGUGACUGCAGACCUCAGGCCCCUGCGAGCAGGGGCUUCCGUUUACGAAUAUGCUCGGGAAGGUGCCUUCCUGGCGCGAGCUGCAGGCUGGAGCGCUGUGCCCUUGGAGAGCCGGCGGUGGGCGUGCAGGCCCCUGUGCUGGGGUGUGAGGGCCUCAGACCCCAGGCUGAGGGUCCCGAGGUCAGGGGGGCUGUUCGGCGUGGAGGCAGCCUGGGGCGGGGGGGCGCCCGCCUUUUGGUCAGUGCCUUAAGUGAGGGCACUUCCCUUGCCUGGUACUUUUAGGGACUCGGCAUCAGGACUCCUGCAAAAUGGAUGAUGUGGAUCAAGCUCCUUCACUCGGAGGCGCUCGCCAGGCUUCGGCAAGGUGGCCCGUGCCCAGGGCAGCGAUGGCCGUGCUCCCAGGCUCUCCGGGAGUCUGGCUGGCUGGCCCUUAGCUGGCGUGCAGGGAGGCAGACUGGGGGCUCGGGCACAGCACCUGGCAGGGUCCUUCCUGGCCUCUGGGGCUGGUGUACGUGCUGGCACCCCCACGGGCAGCGCUGCGCCCAAAACUCUGAGCCCAUACAUCCUUGGAGAACACCCGCUGGGAACCUUCUGCAGACAAGUCUCCUCUCGGCAAACGCGGUCUGUCCAUCAGGCUGUCUGGGCAGCAGCUGGGCUUCCGUCCCAACCGACUGGGGACAGAUGGGUCGCAGGCAGCUGCUUGAACACCUUCCUCCCCGAGGUCAAGGGUCAAGGUGACCCCCGGGGUAUAAAUCUGCGGUGGGGAGGAGGGGCGGAGGGAGCCUGAGGGUCAGUUCAUGGGGAGGAGGGCCGAGGGGGAGGGGUGCCAGCAGAGGAGAAGCAGAAGGGGCACCGCCCCCAGGUCACCUGGGUGUGUGUCGCGGGGGUCGGGGGAGACCUCUUCCCUGGUGUGUCCUUCAGGCAAGCAAGGAGGAGGAGCUGGGCGGGGAGGGGAGGCCACGGGCCACUCUCUUCGGGGGAAGAAACAGCCAGUCUGCUGGGAGGACCGGCGGGGGCGGGGGAGGGCACAGAGGGGAGAGCGGAGACGGGGCUCCCACAGCGGUGUGCAGGGCCAGGGGACAUGGACAGGUCACCUUGAUGGCCUAUGGACGGCCCCAGCCGCCCAGACAGGAAGGAAGGGGUG
ensembl:lncRNA